rnacentral:rRNA from 1 species
AUUGAACGCUGGCGGCAGGCUUAACACAUGCAAGUCGAGCGGAGAGAGGUAGCUUGCUACUGAUCUUAGCGGCGGACGGGUGAGUAAUGCUUAGGAAUCUGCCUAUUAGUGGGGGACAACAUUCCGAAAGGGAUGCUAAUACCGCAUACGCCCUACGGGGGAAAGCAGGGGAUCAUCGGACCUUGCGCUAAUAGAUGAGCCUAAGUCGGAUUAGCUAGUUGGUGGGGUAAAGGCCUACCAAGGCGACGAUCUGUAGCGGGUCUGAGAGGAUGAUCCGCCACACUGGGACUGAGACACGGCCCAGACUCCUACGGGAGGCAGCAGUGGGGAAUAUUGGACAAUGGGGGGAACCCUGAUCCAGCCAUGCCGCGUGUGUGAAGAAGGCCUUAUGGUUGUAAAGCACUUUAAGCGAGGAGGAGGCUACUGAGACUAAUACUCUUGGAUAGUGGACGUUACUCGCAGAAUAAGCACCGGCUAACUCUGUGCCAGCCGCCGCAGUAAAAC